rnacentral:tRNA from 2 species
CGCAGGCGGAGCGUUGGCUGCUCAUCCGCCCCUCAUAAGGGCGGCCGGCCCGGUUCGACACCGGGGCCUGCGACCA